CUGUGAGAAACCGAACUGUAUUAUAUAAUUUAUACCUCUAAUACGGCGCCUUCUUCUUCUUUUGAGUUUUAAUGGCGGGUUGCGAAGCAACGUCAUAGUUGCAUACUGCCAUCUACUGUAUCGGAUGCACGGCUUGAGGGCUAUACAGGGACACCCGAAACCGUAGGUGGCGGUAUGCACCUAUGAAGUUGCUUCGCAACCCGCCAUUAAAACUCUAAAGAAGAAGGUGCUGUGCACGGGCUCAUUUGACUACGCAUAGUACUGUAUUAGAGGUAAAAAAAUUAUAUAAAUACUGUUCGGCUUCUCGCACAAACCGAUCGUUUCGUUUCUUAGGAUAUCAAUGUGUCGUCACGAGCGGCAGGGUUUAAUUUGGAUUUGUCUGUGCAUGUUUUUACUGUCUGAGAUUUUGUUACUAUUCACAUGCAUACAGACUGAAACGGUUGGAGUUUCUACAUUUGUGUUGUACUGAAGAAACAAAAUCACAUACAUCUUGGAUGACCUCGGGGUAAGCUGAUAAAUAUAAAAAAUUCAUUUUAAGAUGAAUCCCGUACGUUGGCGGCUGUUUUAAACUGGGUGCUCGGCUCAGACCCUUUUGCCAGUAUGAAGCCGAUUUCAACGGUAACUGCAGAAAGCGUCAGCACGCUCAGCUCAUCACUGGAGUAACGUCUGUACAACGGGUGAGAUAAAACUCAACGCCUGACUGAAUCAUCCAUUCCAUUUUCGAUCCUACGCCAUACGUUAAACUUGAGGUAAUCUUGCUUUUGCUGUUCUAAAAUAAACACUGCUCUUAGCACACCACCCAUACAUGGCACACAAAACAGGUCUUGUGAGGGGGCUGUGCCCACAGGUAGAAAUUCUGUAGGUCCACGGGCUUCUCCCCUUUCAGCGAACAUCACAGCGCUUAGUCCACCAUCGUGGUCUCCAAUCUCCAUUACCAACAGCCUGAGUGCUACACCUACAGACACCCCAACCCAUGCAGCAGCUGGCAGAAGUCAGACAUCAGGCCAAACUGGAUUUCAACACACCCCACCCUUACAUGGCACACAAGUAUAUGACACACAACACAGCUCAGGAGGCUGUGCCUACAGCAAUAGGCUUUACGCCCAGCUGCACUACUUCCUGAACUUCAGCCAGCUCCUUGUUUCCUGUCUGCCAUUAUUGGACAAACUGAUUAAUCCAGGUGUGCCUCAGCUUAGUAGUCACAACAACAAUAAUCAGAC